CAGAGUUCGGGGGCAAUCCCAGUCCCGACCUCCAACCCUUUGUGAACAUAUCUUGUUGCUUCGGGGGCGACCCUGCCGUUCGCGGCAUUCCCCCCGAAGGUCAUCAAAACACUGCAUUAUUACGUCGGAGUAAAAAGUUAAUUUAAUA
rnacentral:misc_RNA from 1 species